CCUCGUAGAACGUCUAAUCAAUUUUGUCCUUAACUCCUACGUAUAUAUAAAUUUAAUAGUUCACAGAUAAUUAAACACCCAAAAUUUUGUUGUCAUUUAAAAAAAAAAAACGUACUCAACUUUCGAAAGAAACAUUAUUGAAAAUUAUUUGGACCCCCUUCCUAUGACAUUUGUGGUUGAACAUUAUUAUUAUUGUUGACAAAUCUCGUGAUAUUAAUGGCUAUAUAUGGGACAUGUGUAUAUUGUAUAGUCA
rnacentral:lncRNA from 1 species